CACUGGCCCAGGUACAUGACCAGCACCCAGAUGACCACGAGCCUCCGGCCCACCAGGGGGUCCAGGUUCCAGAUCCAGAAGGGGAAGAACAUGAUGUAAAAGAGUUCGUUGCCCAACUCCGUGCCGAAGCAGAACAGGCCUGUAAUCCUGGCUCUCUGGGAGGCCACGGUAGAUGGAUUGCCUAACUAAGCUCAGGAGUUGGAGACCAGCCUGAGCAAAACUGAGACCCUGUUUCUGAAAAUAACCUGGCGUUGUAGCAGGUGCCUGUACUCCCAGCUGCUUGGGAAGCUGAGUUUCUGGCCGGAGCUGGGUUUGAACCCACCACCUUUGGCAUAUGGGGCCGGCAUUCUACUCCUUUGAGCCACAGGCGCUGCCCUGAAUAUUGUCAUUUAUUUUCUUUUGCCUACCUAGAUCCAAACUUAAUUUCUUGUUUGUUAAACUAUGAAAUGUAUGUAUUGCAAUCUAUUUACCAUAAAUUUUUACUAGAAUAUUUUUGACAUGGUAAUAUCAGUACAUAGAACGGUAUAGGAAUCAAUAGUUGUUAUGAAUAUGUUAUUUUGAAAGAUUAAGUAUGUUUAUUAAA